UACGGAGGGGGCUAGCGUUAUUCGGAUUUACUGGGCGUAAAGCGCACGUAGGCGGAUCAGAAAGUUAGGGGUGAAAUCCCGGGGCUCAACCUCGGAACUGCCUCUAAAACUCCUGGUCUUGAGGUCGAGAGAGGUGAGUGGAAUUCCGAGUGUAGAGGUGAAAUUCGUAGAUAUUCGGAAGAACACCAGUGGCGAAGGCGACUGACUGGACAAGUAUUGACGCUGAGGUGCGAAAGCGUGGGGAGCAAACAGG
rnacentral:rRNA from 1 species